GCCUGGGUGGCUCAGUCAGUUAAGCGUCUGACUUCAGUUCAGGUCGUGAUCUCAUGGCCUGUGGGUUUGAGCCCCACGUCCGGCU
rfam:Felis catus isolate Cinnamon breed Abyssinian chromosome B3, whole genome shotgun sequence.